GCCACGGUGGUCUAGUGGUCAGAACACUAGCCUUGUAAUCCUGGGGUCCCGGGUUCAAUUCCCGGUGGUGCGCA
rfam:Zootermopsis nevadensis contig11418, whole genome shotgun sequence.